rnacentral:rRNA from 1 species
UACAGAGGUCUCAAGCGUUGUUCGGAAUCACUGGGCGUAAAGGGUGCGUAGGCGGCUAUGCAAGUCGGAUGUGAAAGCCCUCGGCUCAACCGGGGAAGUGCACCCGAAACUGCAAAGCUAGAGUCUCGGAGAGGAUCGUGGAAUUCUCGGUGUAGAGGUGAAAUUCGUAGAUAUCAGGAGGAACACCAAUGGCGAAGGCAGCACUCUGGGCCGGUACUGACGCUGAGGAGCGAAAGCGUGGGGAGCAAACAGG